GGUCCUACGGGAGGCAGCAGUGGGGGAUAUUGCACAAUGGGGGAAACCCUGAUGCAGCGACGCCGCGUGAGCGAUGAAGUAUUUCGGUAUGUAAAGCUCUAUCAGCAGGGGAGAAAAUGACGGUACCUGACUAAGAAGCCCCGGCUAACUACGUGCCAGCAGCCGCGGUAAUACGUAGGGGGCAAGCGUUAUCCGGAUUUACUGGGUGUAAAGGGGGCGCAGACGGCAAUGCAAGCCAGGAGUGAAAGCCCGGGGCCCAACCCCGGGACUGCUCUUGGAACUGGAUGGCUGGAGUACAGGAGGGG
rnacentral:rRNA from 1 species